rnacentral:rRNA from 1 species
CGUUGCUUUCUUUUGCUGGCGGCCGGCGCACGGGUGAGUAACACGUAUCCAACCUGCCCUUUACCCGGGGAUAGCCUUUCGAAAGAAAGAUUAAUACCCGAUAGUAUAAUGAUUCCGCAUGGUUUCAUUAUUAAAGGAUUCCGGUAAAGGAUGGGGAUGCGUUCCAUUAGGUUGUUGGUGAGGUAACGGCUCACCAAGCCUUCGAUGGAUAGGGGUUCUGAGAGGAAGGUCCCCCACAUUGGAACUGAGACACGGUCCAA